CAACACAAAACCAAUCGAAUUCGAAGGUUGCAAACGCGAUUCAUUGGUGAUCGCUGUGUAUUAGCUGGGGUGAAAAGCACUGUCGUCUUACUCUCUCUCUCUCUCUCUUCUCCUUCAUCGCACCAUGGAGGAACCAGGGAGCAGGAGAGAACCAAUAGCUCUCUUCAUGGCUUUCGGCACCAAAGGCGAUGUCUACCCUCUCGCUGCCAUUGCUACAGCUUUGGCUCGUGAUCAACCAAACUACUCUGUGUUCUUGAUUUCACAUUUAGCUCAUGAGAACCUAAGCUCACACUUGUUCAAAGCAAACGUUUCCUAUGUUCCUAUCACUUCUCCUCCUGCUCAGUCUAGUGAAGCUCUGGGCACUCAGAACGACUCAGCUAGGAAACUCUUUUUGGAGGAGAAGGAAAAGAUCAAAAGGGAACACAGGCAAGAGUGUCGUUCUGCAUUUGGAAGCAUCUUUGGAGAUGGUCCUUGUAUGGAUGGUGAUCUCGUUGUCAUAAACUUCUUUGCUUUGGAAGGAUGGAGCCUUGCAGAGCUUUAUCAGAUCCGUUGUGUGGUGGCUGCUCCUUAUGUUGUUCCGUAUAGUCCACCAUCAGGCUUUGAAAGAAUGUUUAGGAAGGAACUUCCGGAGUUGUACAAGUACUUGAAAGAAGCCCCCAUCGGCAAGGUUAGCUGGAGUGAGGUAACUCAUUGGAUGUGGCCUCUCUUUACUGAAGAAUGGGGAUCUUGGCGAUCCGAGGAACUCAACCUAAGCUGUUACCCUUUUGCAGAUCCGGUAACAGACCUUCCAAUUUGGCAUAUCCGGCCACCAUCUCCACUAGUCUUGUAUGGUUUCAGCAAAGAAAUUGUAGAAUGCCCUGAUUACUGGCCAUUGAGUGUUCGAGUGUGUGGCUUUUGGUUUUUACCCAACGAGUGGCAGUUUUCAUGCAACAAAUGUGGAGACAACCACCCCUCUGCAGAGCGCCUGGGCACAGACGAUUCCCAUACAUGCUCAAACCACACUGAGCUGUAUACUUUCGUGUCGUCUUUAGAGCCAUCUCUUCCUAUUUUUGUAGGGUUGAGUUCCAUUGGAAGCAUGGGUUUUAUGAAGAAUCCCCUGGCUUUUCUUCGGAUUCUCGAGUCUGUUAUCCAGAUUACAGGCUACAGAUUCAUCAUUCUCACAGCGGGUUAUGAACCUUUAGAAGUUGCAAUUUGCACCAUUGCUCAGGAACCAGUGAAAAGAUCUUUACAGGAGGGAGUCUCUAUCUUCAACGGCAAGCUUUUCUGUUUCUCAGGUAUGGUGCCAUACAACUGGCUGUUUAGAAGAUGUGCUGCUGCAAUUCAUCAUGGUGGCAGUGGUUCUACAGCUGCAGCUUUACACGCUGGAAUCCCACAGGUUUCUUUUAGCUCCACAAACUUAUUAUAUGCCCAUUUAUGAUGGAUCAGUUCUAUUGGGCGGAGAAGAUGACUUGGCUUGGGGUUGCUCCACAACCAUUGAAAAGGAACCACUUGCUCCCUGAAUCAAAUGAUGAGAGCAUCAUGGAAGCUGCACAAGUGGUAGCAAAAGCCGUAUAUGAUGCACUGUCUUCAAAAACUAGAGAUAGUGCCAUGGAAAUAGCUGAAAUAUUGUCUCUUGAGGAUGGAGUCUCAGAAGCUGUGAGGGUGCUUAGAGAAGAGGUGUGUAAAGUUUCAGGCGGCAACCAAAUGUAGUCACAGACAACGUACAGCUUAUAUCAAAGUGAUGGUGAUCAGUUCAUUAUGACAAGAAAAGCACUCGACUAAGAUAACUUCUAACUGUUAGUUUCUGCUUUAGUUUAGCUUCUUUCAGUCUAAAACCUCUUCAGAGCCCGUGGAAGAACAACAGUGUAAGUUGUGUUGUUCAUUUUGAGGCACAUUUGAAAAGUUUUUGUUGCCAGAGAGAGAAGUAGAAGGGAUCACAAUUCUAUAGCUAUGACUCCAUCUCUUAAAAGUCUUGCAAGUGCUUUUGGAAAAAAAAAGAAUAUUCUCUUUUUAGUUGUGUUGAUGCUCUGAUUAGAUCUCAAAAUUGUAUUUUACUUUCUCAGUGUUUCUAAUAAAAUAGCCACAUCUUUUUAUA